UAUGCAUAUGAGUGUCUGUUAAAUAGGGUUACACAUCUUUCUAAUUCCAUACAUCGAAGAAGCCAAGUAGAACAAGAAACCCUACGAGCUCAGUUAUAAUCGUUGCUAGAUUCUGUAUAUGGCUACGUGUACAGUAAGUUCAACGUCGUCGGAAGGUAACCUCAUUGAUAGUUGACCUGCUGCUGGAUGAAAAUAGCGUGGGUAAUUUAUGGUUUUUGUAUACUCCAAUGAUAAGGAAACCAAAAAAAUUUCCAUCGAGAAGAGGGAUGUUGUUAGAGAGUUUAAGAAAAAGAUUGAAGAACACGAAAAAUAAUAGCAAUUGCGGUUUCAUUUAAAUCAACUCAACAAUCGUCAAUAGUUGCCGCCGUCACCUUCAAACUGCAGUUGUUGCACACAAAUCAUUAAGUGUAGUUAGUUCAAGUUUAGUUCUUGGCUAUUAUCAACAUAGCAUUUAACUGCGGCAAAAGAAAACCAAGCCAGAGCCCCUUUCUUUCAAUAAUCUUCUUGAACAGAAUAAUUUAAAACAACCCACCGCGGUAUUAUCGAAGCGCAAAAACCCGGGUACCAUAUCGUAUUAUUGGUAACCUGAUCAGAUAACCUCGAUGUGUCGUAAUCGCAACCUCCUCAGUUGACGAUUGUUCACCGCGAGACAAGCGUCAAGUGCUACUAUAGUAGUAGAUAAUGAAAUAAAAAGCAUUUGUUGACGUGAUUCCCGGUUCGGAUCACGAAACAUUGACAGCAAGCAACCGGAAAGUGAUUCAGCUCAGCUCCGCGAAGCGUAGACGCUUUUUAAGAUCUUCGGUUACUUCCUAUGUGUUGAAAGUGCAGCAUCCGAAAACGCAGCUCAGAUUACACUCGAGCACAAUGAUCAACGCCAGCUCAGAACUACUCGGUGGCUAUUUCACGCUGGUUUUGGCGUUUAUGGUGUUACUCGUGGGAUGGUUCGUGGUCACGGCCGGAACCCGAUACUGGCUGCGGGUGGGUGUGCCGUACAUCCCAGGGAAGCCGUUGGUGGGUAACUUUCUAGACACGCUACUGCAGAAGAAGAGUACCUUCGAGCUAAUGGAUGAACUCUAUCGGAACGAAACGGUUCGGAACAGCACACUAUUCGGAAUCAGCAUUAUGAUGCAGCCCGCUGUUGUACUACGCGAUCCAGGAUUAAUCAAGCAGGUGUUCGUCAAAGAUGCGGUGUAUUUUUCUAACAGACAUAUGUGCACCGACCAUGAGAACGACCCCAUUGGAUACUACAACCUCCUGAUGAUCAAGAAUCCCCAGUGGAAGCAGUUGCGCACCUUCCUGACGCCAUCACUCAGCUUGAACAAGAUUAAACGAAUGUUCCUUCUAGUAGAUCAGAUCGGAAAAGACAUGCUGGAUCAUUUGGAAGAGCUUCCCGAGUGUCAACCUCGAACAAGGCAAACCGAGUUCAAAGAAUUGUGCGCCCGCUUUACUACCGACGUGGUAGCGAGCACUUUCUUCGGCAUUCAAUCCAGGUGCCUGAGCGAUGAGGAUUCCGAGUUUAGAUACUAUGGUAAAAAAAUCUUCGAGUAUGGUCCGAAGCGUGGCAUUACCAUGGCUUCGUUUUUCUUCAUGCCUGAGCUGGUUCCUUAUCUGAGGUUUAAACUUUUCCCGCACGAUACCGAGCGUUUCCUGAAGACGAUUAUUCAGCAGGAAAUUCUCCGACGGGAAGCAAGCGGAGAAACACGGGGAGAUUUUAUUGAUUCGAUGAUUGGUCUAAAGAAUGCUGAUGCCACCAUCGGGACAAACGAAAAGAUUCCAUUGAAAGAUGAUAUCCUGGUAGCUCAAGCAGCAACCUUCUACAUGGCCAGCUUUGAAACAACAUCCUCAGUAUUAUCAUUUACUCUUUACGAACUGACGAAAAAUCCAGAUAUACAAGAACGUCUCAGAGAUGAAAUCCGCUCCUGUCUUCAGAAUCACGGUCCCGAUCUUUCGUACGAGUGUCUAAUAAACGAAAUGCCAUAUCUUGGAAUGGUGAUUUCGGAGGCAGCGCGGCUUUAUCCUGUUCUUCCUUUUCUAGAGCGCCAGUGUACCCUACCUGAGGGUACCACCGGAUACAAGUUGCAUCCAUUCCACGACACCUUCAGCAUUCCGAAUAAAAUGCCCCUGCUGGUACCAAUUUACGCCAUUCAUCGUGAUCCAAAGUAUUUUCCCGAUCCUCUUCGUUUCAAUCCAGAUCGUUUCGCGAAGGAGAAUUUAGAGAAUAUCGUGCCAUGCAGCUAUAUGCCAUUUGGUGUUGGACCGCGAACAUGCUUGGGCUCACAUUUCGGCACGCUGCAGGUUAAGGUCGCCAUUGUAAGGCUGCUAACUCGGUACAGAAUAGAACGGUCACUAUUGACACCAGAGGUGUUAACCUAUAGGAAAAAUGCUUUCACACUGCAAUCUAAUGAAGGACUUUACGCGAAUUUGGUGGUUGAUGAACUGUAUUAAUCGUAAGCACUCAUUUAAAUGCUAGGAUGGCGAAUCGACGUGGUGACACUACAGGGUCGAAUAUAUUCACCAGGAAACUAUUAUCGUAACCACAUUCCUUCAGAAAUAACAAACGAUCCAGAAGAAUAACACUUUCGACAAUCGGAGCGAAGGUCAUUCGCUCAGCAUCCGUUACACCAGAAUCAUCCACCUUCAACCGUUUGAAUGAUUUUCUAGCAUAAUCCACAAACCCUGAGCAUUUCAUUUUCCCCACCUGGCUGUUUUCAUCUGCAUGCAGCUUUUUCAGCACCAAUUGUAGCAUCGCCCGGUAGCCAAGUUUAUCACUAGGAUCCUC